CGGAAUUAUAACACAAUUAAAUGGAAGUGAACAAAGACAUAUCAACACAAAAUUCGCCAGGCUUGGGAACUAGGAAAAGAGCCAUGUUAUGUGAUCUUGUCUUCCAGUCCAGUUUGAAUGAAGAAAAACCCAUUGAAGACUCGUUUAAGAACAGUGUUUUUUGAAGAAGGAAAAGAAAUACUAUUUGAGAGAAGGCAAACAAACAAAAAGGGUGAUGGAAAUAUGUAUCUUUGUUGUAUUUGUAACCCCAAGAGAACAACCUAUAGUGAACAUAGAGAACUGAGGAGUAAAUUAAAGAAUGACUGAAUUUUGUGGGUUUUGA